CUAGCUGGUCUGAGAGGAUGACCAGCCACACUGGAACUGAGACACGGUCCAGACUCCUACGGGAGGCAGCAGUGGGGAAUAUUGCACAAUGGGCGCAAGCCUGAUGCAGCCAUGCCGCGUGUAUGAAGAAGGCCUUCGGGUUGUAAAGUACUUUCAGCGGGGAGGAAGGGAGUAAAGUUAAUACCUUUGCUCAUUGACGUUACCCGCAGAAGAAGCACCGGCUAACUCCGUGCCAGCAGCCGCGGUAAUACGGAGGGUGCAAGCGUUAAUCGGAAUUACUGGGCGUAAAGCGCACGCAGGCGGUUUGUUAAGUCAGAUGUGAAAUCCCCGGGCUCAACCUGGGAACUGCAUCUGAUACUGGCAAGCUUGAGU
rnacentral:rRNA from 1 species